rnacentral:lncRNA from 1 species
GGCCCACAGGGCUAGCUCGGCCCAACUCUGUAAAUGGGGUAGGCUGGACUGCCAUAUAAAUAGCUCAAAUAACAAAUGGGCCUGUUUGGCCCGCCCCACAUCAGCCCAAGAUCUAAUAUGGGUUGGGCUGGGCUAGCCCGGAUGGGCCAUAAAAAUUUUAAAAAUAAAUUUUAAAAAAAAUUUAUUUAUUUUUUAAUCUCUGACUCUUGAGCCCUGCUGCCUCA